ACAAUCAGUUCUUCGCCCCGCGCAGCCGGCAUUUUGUCCACCGUUCAGAGCAGCACGUUUCACACGUGGAAAACGCUAAGACACGAAAAAUAUUUGAAGAUUUGAAGAGAAGCCAAUUUGCUGAGUAAUAAGCAUGUUGGUGACGGUGGCAUGCAAAGGAUCUAAGAAGUAUGUGACAGUGACAGACACUGAUGGAGAAUAUAACUAUCAUCAGUUUCACAAGGAAGUGAUUAAAAGAUUCGGCCUGCCAAUUGAUGUAGACGUGAAGUACAAGGAUUCAACGGGGACUGAGGUUGAUGCAGACAUAUUCAAUGAACUCCUACAGCAAGGCAGUGUUACUCUUACAGCCUGCUUGGAUGACGAUAUGUCGGAUGUUUCAAUGUCUUCUGAUACAUUGUUUUCUUCUAAUACAUCCACCUUGAUUAUUGAUGAUCCCCCAACAAAGAAAGCAAGACUGACGAAUGACUGUACAGAUAAACAAGCAGCAAAAAAUAUGGUGAAUAUGGUUCUGAAGUCAAAACCUGGUGGAGACAAAAUUAUGUAUGAAUACGAUAAAACCAAAACCUUGUCAGACAGCACCCGCAGACAGUUAGUGAACAUGCUUGUUGCUGAUAUGGUUGAAGUACAUGGAAGGACACCUCCACAGACUGUGCGAACCAAGUAUGCUCUUGGUAUUAUUUCUUUGUUUCCCUACUUGGAGGACCCAUAGUCUAAAAAUGGAUAUGAGCAUUUCUAUGAUGCAUCAAGUGGUACUGGUUACCUGGCCUGGCGCUUAAAGACAGUUCAGAGAAAUACUCAAAUUGGUGAAAAACACAGACCUGAGUUACCUGGCACCAGCAGUGGCCCAUUAUCUGAGAGAGAACCAUUUUCAACCACAGAACAGCUGACCGGUGAUGAGUGCAGAGAGGCAAUAUCAGUUAUGAAACACACGUCAGAUGAAAAAGUAGUAAAAGAAAAAAUGAAGGCAACUUUCCAAUACAGACAGUCUAUUGUUCGAAAUCCUGAGAAGUCCCAUGAUGUCUUGGACAUGUUCCCUAGGUUCCUGGACACACCUGGCCUUAUUGAACAGGAUUUCUCAUUGCUGUUUGGAGAAGAGAUCUCUGGAAAGUUUCUGGCAAAAUGGUCAACCUUCUUCCAACCCAAAGUAAUCAGUGAAUCCAAAGGAUUGGCCCCUAACCACCACAUUGAAGAACUUGUUAAACAUACUCAGCCUGAACUUGGUGACGACUCGACUGGUUGGGACAGCGACAUCUCGGCCUUACUGUUACUUCUCUAUCUCCUACCCCCAACGCCAAAAGGCCACAAAAAGGCAGCAAAAAUUAGCCCCCUUCAAGCAGGUGACCAUCUAGUGAGAUUUCUUAAGAUGGGAACCAGCAUUCCAGCUUUUCUGGAGAAGUUUGGAUCCGCACAACCUUUCCUGUUAUGCAUAGGAGAAAAUAAGAAGAGCAUUCAGAGGUUCUUCCUUGUCGUGGACAUGAAAGCAAUUCCGUGCAAGGCUCAGACAUCGGUGGGGGCUUUUGAUGAACUUUUUAAAGCACACUUUGUGUUUAGCACAUCAUACAGUGAAAGUCUGUCAAGCUUCUACAUUUUCAUCCAAACUGCCAUUUACAACAUUGAUGCUGGAACUUCCAAAUAAAAGGCCAAGAGUCAGAGAGUUGCGGGCAAGAUUUCUGAGUGAAAAGAAUUGAUUUUCCUGUGAAGGUAUGGUCAAAGCAUGUUUACCUGUUUUAUCUGUAAAACGCAUCAUCAGAGUUCUUCUCUUCUUUGUCGUCAUCUAAAGUUUCUACAUGGACUUAACCCUGGAAAGCGUUUGCGGUUAUGAUGUGCAGAAUUUGAAUGUUCUUCUGUGUUUGGCACAUAUUCAGGUUUUAAGAAAGAUGAUUUGUAGUACAGGUAACAGGGGACAACUUGGCAAUGACAUACUAACAUUUGAUUUUUUAUUACCACACUUUAUUUAAAUCUCUGUUCCCUGAUAAGAGUCUGUUACCUAAACAGCAUUUUAUGAUGCACUACCCCAGGUGUAUUUGUAAAAUUGAUCCUCUUUUACAUUUGAUUUGAGGCAAAACACAAUUUUUUUUUAAACGGUCAGUAAAAAGUUUUUAAAAUCUCACUAAAACUUUGGUAAAAAUAUUGUGCCAACCUGUCACUUAUUUUAAAACUGCACUUAUUGUUGCAUGUGUUACUGUAUUAAGUGUGUCAAUGAAUGUUAAUAAAUGUCUGUGUUUUCAUAA